rnacentral:rRNA from 1 species
ACUAAUGCGUGAGUAUUGCAUGGGUUAGCUCGGAAUCUUGAAGGAUGACUUUAGAUCCUAUUUUCGUUGGUUUAGGUACUUCAGUAAUGAUGAAUAGAAACGGUUAGGGGCAUUUGUAUUUGGUCGCUAGAGGUGAAAUUCUUGGAUUGA